GUGUCAGCUGCCGCGGUAAGACGAACCGUCCUAACGUUGUUCGGAAUCACUGGGCUUAAAGGGCGCGUAGGCGGGUUGCCAAGUCUGAGGUGAAAUCUUUCGGCUUAACCGGAAAAUAGCUUUGGAUACUGGCAGUCUCGAGGGUGGUAGGGGCAUGUGGAACUUCCGGUGGAGCGGUGAAAUGCGUUGGUAUCGGAAGGAACGCCGGUGGCGAAAGCGACGUGCUGGACCACUACUGACGCUGAGGCGCGAAAGCCAGGGGAGCAAACGGGAUUAGAUACCCCGGUAGUCC
rnacentral:rRNA from 1 species